rnacentral:rRNA from 1 species
AGUGAACGCUGGCGGUAGGCCUAACACAUGCAAGUCGAACGGCAGCACAGUAAGAGCUUGCUCUUACGGGUGGCGAGUGGCGGACGGGUGAGGAAUACAUCGGAAUCUACUUUUUCGUGGGGGAUAACGUAGGGAAACUUACGCUAAUACCGCAUACGACCUACGGGUGAAAGCAGGGGAUCUUCGGACCUUGCGCGAUUGAAUGAGCCGAUGUCGGAUUAGCUAGUUGGCGGGGUAAAGGCCCACCAAGGCGACGAUCCGUAGCUGGUCUGAGAGGAUGAUCAGCCACACUGGAACUGAGACACGGUCCAGACUCCUACGGGAGGCAGCAGUGGGGAAUAUUGGACAAUGGGCGCAAGCCUGAUCCAGCCAUACCGCGUGGGUGAAGAAGGCCUUCGGGUUGUAAAGCCCUUUUGUUGGGAAAGAAAAGCAGCAGGUUAAUACCCCGCUGUUCUGACGGUACCCUAGAAUAAGCACCGGCUAACUUCGUG